rnacentral:rRNA from 1 species
AACGAACGUUGGCGGCGUGGAUUAGGCAUGCAAGUCGAACGCGAAAGUGCCCUUCGGGGCGCGAGUAGAGUGGCGAACUGGUGAGUAACAGGUGGGCAAUGUGCCUCCAAGUGGGGGAUAACCCUUGGAAACAGGGGCUAAUACCGCAUAGGGCUCGAUAGUCGUUGGACCGUCGGGUUAAAGGUGCGCUUCGCGCGUGCCGCUAGGAGAGCAGCCCGCUCCCGAUUAGCUUGUUGGUAGGGUAACGGCCUACCAAGGCUACGAUCGGUAGGUGGCCUGAGAGGGUGGUCACCCACACUGGGACUGAGAUACGGCCCAGACUCCUACGGGAGGCAG